rnacentral:lncRNA from 1 species
GAUGUCGGACCAUCACCAUCUUGGCGUGAGCCACAGCACAGUGGGGAUGAGACACCCCAAGGCCCUGGAAGCUCUGGACUGUUUGCACAAGGUUAAUUCCCUUGUUGGAAAUGAGUAAGAAUAAACCACUUGGGGUUGGUGAUGUUUUCCUUUUCUUUACAUGAUUUCUUUUGCUGUGAGAAAUGAAGAUGUUGCAAACAACCCAUCUGCAUUUUUGCAACACCUCCUCUGUUCCUUGAUUUUUUUUAGUUUGUUGGUGUCACUUUCCAUGUUUAUACUAUUUUCAAAUGUUUGUGCCACUCUCUUUUUCCUUUUUUCUUUUUAUUUUUUUUUAAUUUUUUUUUUUCUUCCCAGUUGCUUUAUAUUGUUUGGAAGAGCUUGAAUACUUCUGUUUCCCCCCUUUUUCACGCUAGUAAUGUGAAUUCUUAUCUUCUUAUGUUUUGCUGAAAUCUUUUUUUGAUUUUCAGUCUCUCAGAGGAAGCUUCUUCUCCAAGUAUAAGAAAUAUUUGCUUAUUUUUAUUUUUUUGGUAUUCUUUGCAGAAUCUUCUAACAAAAAUGGGGUUAAAUUAAAAAGUGACACUUUUAAGGCGGAGAUGUGUUCCUCACCUGUUGGAAAUGACCUGCUGCCCACCCAAAGGCAGUGAGGAAGUGGUUCAGCACAGCUGGUGUGAUUUGAGGAAGGGCCUCAGCUGAGCCAGUUGCCUCUUCUUGCCUGAUUUUUCCCAUAUGGGUAGCAUGGCCCAUGCCCUCUGCUGGGAGGGAAAAGAAGAAAUAAGGUGGUUUUCCUUUGGAAUGAGGAAGGAACACGAAGGGCUUUCAGCUGUGCCUGAGGAAAGUGAGGUGAAGAAAGCGAGGAAGGCUGGAGCUAAAAAGGAACCAAGUUCCUUUACACCCACACGACAAGGACAUGGCUUCGGGAUGCCUUUUUCUGCCGCAUCCAGCGUCGGUGCAACAGCUGCUUGCUCAGCUGCCACACAAUGGCAAACCUGGCUUUCAUUCCUAUUUUCAAGGUUGCCGAAAGCCCCUUAUUUUGAAAGUAAAAUAAUAAUUAAGAAGAGAAAGGAUCUGGAAGGCGCAGGCGGUGUUCCCUCACACCUGCGGUUCCAACACUUUGGCUUGUGA